ACACACACAAAUUCACAUUUACACACUUACACACUUAUAUACAUACACACUGCUAACAGGCCUGGCUGGACUAGGUUGAAGAGGAGCGGAAUGGAGAGGGUCCAGAGCAGGUAGUUUUUGCAACACUAUGCUAGGAGAGUGGAGAGGCAGGACUAGGUGGACAAGGGUGUGACCCUUCUCUGUGAUUGGUGGACAGAGAUUGACGGACAGACAGACGGAUAAAGAGGACGAGACAGACUGGAGAGGAGAGACUGAGAGAGAGAGAUGGAUCACAAUGUCAACUUUGAGCUGACUCCUCACCACAUGGAGGCUGGCCUGGAGAGCCCAGUGGAUGAGGAGGGGGUCCAUGACUCCUUUAACCAGCUGAUAGAGGAUCAGAGACAGGAAGCCUUUGAGCUGCAGGAACUACAGAGGGAACUGGAUGAGGAGGAAAGAGACAGUGUAGCGUACCUGUCCAGCCCUGGUCGGGAGAUAUGGCGUGGGGGCCAGG